rnacentral:lncRNA from 1 species
UCUUUUAUGAUAAUAAGAGCAUUGGGGCACAAAUACCAAAAUAUGGAUUCAUGCAAUUUUUGAUACAUUAAAAUAGGAAUUGGCACACAAUUGAAGUUCUAAGGAGCAAGCCAAUUAGGACUCAUUAGUGAAUUUCAAAAUAGAUUUUCUAAGAGAUACUCAAGAAAAUUCAACACAUUAUUCUCCCCCUUUUUCAUUAAAUUAGAGGCUCUUAAGAUCAA